rnacentral:rRNA from 1 species
AGAACGAACGCUGGCGGCAUGGAUUAGGCAUGCAAGUUGAACGAACUCCUUCGGGAGUGAGUAGCGGAAGGGUGAGGAACGCGUGAGUAAUCUGCCCCCCAGUUGGGAAUAACAGUUGGAAACGACUGCUAAUACCGAAUGUGGCUUAAGCUUCGCCUGGAGCUUUGGCUAAAGAUUUAUCGCUGGGGGAUGAGCUCGCGUCCCAUUAGGUAGUUGGUGAGGUAACGGCUCACCAAGCCGACGAUGGGUAGCUGGUCUGAGAGGAUGGUCAGCCACACUGGGACUGAGACACUGCCCAGACUCCUACGGGAGGCUGCAGUCGAGAAUCUUGGGCAAUGCGCGAAAGCGUGAACCCCAGCAAUGCCGCGUGUAUGAUGAAGGCCCUCGGGUCGUAAAGUACUGUCUCCCGUGACGAAAUUUGACGGUAGCGGGGAAGGAAGCCACGGCUAACUACGUGCCAGCCGCAGC